UACGUAGGUGGCAAGCGUUGUCCGGAAUUACUGGGUGUAAAGCGCGUGUAGGCGGGAGGCCAAGUCUGCUGUGAAAUCGCCCGGCUCAACUGGGCGGGGUCGGUGGAACUGGUCACCUGGAGGACGGUAGAGGCGAGUGGAAUUCCAGGUGUAGCGGUGAAAUGCGUAGAUAUCUGGAGGAACACCGGUGGCGAAGGCGGCAUCCUGGACCGGCAUUGACGCUGAGGCGCGAAAGCUAGGGGAGCAAACGGG
rnacentral:rRNA from 1 species